UGGUAAUGCCGGAUGCUCCAUCACACCGCAUGGUGUGUUGGGAAAGCCUUUGCGGCAUGGGAUGGGGUCGCGUCCUAUCAGCUUGAUGGCGGGGUAACGGCCCACCAUGGCUUCGACGGGUAGCCGGCCUGAGAGGGCGACCGGCCACAUUGGGACUGAGAUACGGCCCAGACUCCUACGGGAGGCAGCAGUGGGGAAUAUUGCACAAUGGGCGCAAGCCUGAUGCAGCGACGCCGCGUGAGGGAUGGAGGCCUUCGGGUUGUAAACCUCUUUUGUUAGGGAGCAAGGCACUUUGUGUUGAGUGUACCUUUCGAAUAAGCACCGGCUAACUACGUGCCAGCAGCCGCGGUAAUACGUAGGGUGCAAGCGUUAUCCGGAAUUAUUGGGCGUAAAGGGCUCGUAGGCGGUUCGUCGCGUCCGGUGUGAAAGUCCAUCGCUUAACGGUGGAUCCGCGCCGGGUACGGGCGGGCUUGAGUGCGGUAGGGGAGACUGGAAUUCCCGGUGUAACGGUGGAAUGUGUAGAUAUCGGAAAAAAAACA
rnacentral:rRNA from 1 species